ACUUGGGAGAACAGAAAUAUCCAGGGUGGAUUUCAAGUCGUUGAUUCUGGAAUUGGAGGACCUAAAUCCUCUCCUCCUCUCCUCUUUGACAUGAACCGGAAGUUUGCCAUGCUCGUUACUGCGUUUGUCACGUGGAUUCUUUUCUGGGAGAGAAGUUCAGAGAAAGAGCAGCCACUUGACUUCUGGCUUCACGGAAGAGGGACAGCACUCGGUGGAAGAUGACAGAGUUUCCCUCGACCAUGGUGGGGCAAGUGGUGCGCCCACCCAGACCAGGGUGCACCAAACAAGGGACUCGCGGAGAGCAGAGCGGUCUGCGGGGGAGGGGCCCUCCGCGGGGCCCUGGCUGGAAGGCUUCGGGAGGAAUCGUGUUGCCUUGGCAAUAGAGGCUUCGGAGAGAAAGGAGCGUCUUGGUGGAGUCACCUCACGGCCCCUCUCAGCCCUGCACUAGUGUUUGGUGAUCUGACCCCUCUGCUGCUUGAGCCUCCAUGCCCUGCCGGCCACACUCACCACGUCAUCGUCACAGGUCAAGUCCAAAAUGGAUGCAGCUUAACUUGAAGAAGAGACCAGCCUGGGAAUCAUGAGACCUUGUGUCUAGUUGGAGUUUUGCCACAGAAUCACCAGGCGACCUUGAGUGAGAUAACCACUUUUCCAAUCCAGAGCCCUUGCAACUCAUGGCUCUACCAUCUUUAAUACAUAGCUUCCAUGAUUGCCCUGCUGCUCAGCAUCAAGCCUGCAGAAGAGGAAAGAUCCUGGAUGACGGAGCCUGGGGAGGUUUUAUGGGGCGGGCUACUCAUAUUUCAUUGGCCGAAAAUCAGCCGCAUGGCUACACCUAACUGCAGGAGAAGAUGUGAAACGAAGUCUGGCUCUGUGCCCAAGAAGAAGAGGAAACAGGUGAGGUGAGGACCCAGCCAGUCUCUGCCACAAUGAAACAGAUAAUGAAGUAAAAGAUACAAAGAGUUCUAUAAACUGAAGAGGAUGGAAAAUUCAAUUAAAUCUAAUCACUUGGUGAAAAGAUAGGCUACACCCCAAGGGGGACUGCAGAAUUCUAUCUACCCAAAUCAUGUGUUAAAAAGUGAAAGAGGCUAUGAUAAAAUUAGGAUAAGGGUGAAAUUUGAAAGACACUCUGGGAUGCAUGGCACACUCCUCCGGUGACACAGUAGACAGAACCAAUCCAACUAUGAAAAGCAGCUCAGUGUGUUAACCCGUUGCUCAGAUAGGAUCAUCCAGGAAAAAAAUCCUAGUCUUGUAUGUCUUACUGAGAAGCUGUAUGGCAGUUCUAAAUAACUCCAUCCUGCCUGAAUUGCCUUCCUGCUCCCCUUGGCUGGUUAAAGUGACUUUACUUCCAUGGAAAAGACGUAGAAAAAAUAUGCAGAUGAUGAAGCCAAUCAAACUUGUAGUAUUAUUACUUCCGUGUUAAGUUUUAUGAGUUAAGUUUGUGUGUGUUAUUUAAGGAGUUUGAAAUGUUUAAGAGAAUCUAACCAAUUAGCCUUGUUAUUUUAUUUUGAAAUGAUAAAUUGGUACUCCAUUUGUGAUUUUCAUCUGAAAGUUGUAAAAUAAUUGAACAUGUUCGUAAAUAGUGUUUGAAUGUUUAAGAGAACCCAAUUAACGACAGGUAUAAGUUAGUUUUAUUAGGUUUGUAAGAGUUAAUUGAGAUGUAGAAAGAUUUUACUUGCUGGGUUUUGUAAGUGUUGCCCCAUCAGGCAUUUGAAAUAUUUCAGAAAAUCAAAUAUAUCAAAUUUGUAAGGGUAGUUGAAAAAUAUUUUAGGAAACUUAAUUACAUGUGUAAACGUGGUCAGUUGAGGAAACUUAGUCUUUUUAAAUAUAUAAGUUAAUUGAACACUAAUCAAAUAACAAAAAAGCAGUCGUUCUCAUUUUUACAUAAAUCACUGUAUUUACAAAAAGAAUUUAUAAGUUAGAUUUAUAGGUUAAGUUUGAAGGCUUAAAAAAGGCAAAAUAAAGUGUUCAACUUUAAUAAACUGAAUAUUAAUUAGAGUAGAUAUUAGUAGUUCCUUUUGCUCACAGAUCUCUCGCACUUAAAUAGGUAAUCGAUAGGAGUAAAGAAGAGGAAAGAGAGAGAAUGAUAGGCAUUUUCUAAAAAGCAGAACCAACAACACUUAAACAAACUGGUUUCUUUCUAAGAAAGAUAUCUAAAGUAGUCAAACUCCUAGAAGCAGAGAGGAGAAUGG